UUUAGUAGUUAUACAUGCUUAAAAUAUUUAUUUUGGCUGGACACAAUGGCUCAUUCCUCUAAUCCUAACACUUUGGGAGGCCAAGGUGGUGAAAGGAUUGCUUGGGUUCAGGAGUUUGAGGUCAGCCAGGGCAACACAGUGAGACCCCAUCUUUACAAAAAAUAAAAAAUUAGCUGGGUGUGGUGGUUCAGCUCUGAAAAUGAUUGAUUUUUUUCCUAUAUUUCAGUAUAGUAAAGUAACUGCCUAAGGGGUUCUUCCUGACUUGUAAUAAGGAGAGUUUAGUAGAUACGAGGCCUGCAACACCACAUGGGAGAUGGAGUUUACUCAAAUCAUCUCCUCUGAAGCUCAUAGGUUA
ensembl:lncRNA novel transcript